GUUUUUCAGCAAUAACAUCACAAUCUCCUCUUCUCUUCUGGUGGACCUGGUUAUAGGAUAGAUAUAGCCAGAAAAAGUGUACAGGUUUUGCAGAAAACUAAUCCCUUCCCCUAACUGCAUUUGACACAUGAAAUUUCCAUGAAAAUAAUACUUAACACGAUUGUCAACACUUUCGACCUUUUACAAUCAUGAAUAAAUGAUAGAUACGACAAGAUAAAGGUAUAGCCUUCAAGAUAAUUUCAGGUAUCUUAAUAUUAAAGCCAAGCUAAUAUCUAGUUUGAUUUGAACAGUUGAGUGAGGACACCAACAUUGUCUCCUCAUUUGCAUCACACUCAACAUUCUUCAUCCUGGUUACUAUAGUUCAAAACUUCAGUCUUUCUCUCAGUGAAGCUUCACAAAAGCUACUCUUGAGAUGGAUGGGAAGUGGUGAGGCCCAUGCAUGUGUAAGGUUGAGAUAUUCUCUCAAAGGUUGAGCACAAUGCAGUAGCUCGGCUACUGUUGGGGAUGUAAGAGUGUGCCAAAGCAAGCUUCGGCAGGAAGACUUCUUAAACGAGAACUUAGAGCAAAGAUGGAGACAGCCACUAAAGAACUGAAUGUCUAGUGGAGUCCUUGGGCGGAAUUAUACAGUUGGUACCGAAAGAUAAUUCAGAGUGCAAAGGCG
rnacentral:lncRNA from 1 species